CCUACGGGUGGCAGCAGUGAGGAAUAUUGGUCAAUGGGCGGGAGACUGAACCAGCCAAGUAGCGUGAAGGAUGAAUGCACAAAGGGUUGUAAACUUCUUUUAUAAAGGAAUAAAGUGAGGCACGUGUGCCUUUUUGUAUGUACUUUAUGAAAAAGGAUCGGCUAACUCCGUGCCAGCAGCCGCGGUAAUACGGAGGAUCCGAGCGUUAUCCGGAUUUAUUGGGUUUAAAGGGAGCGUAGAUGGGUUGUUAAGUCAGUUGUGAAAGUUUGCGGCUCAACCGUAAAAUUGCAAUUGAUACUGGCAGUCUUGAGUUCAGGUGAAGUAGGCGGAAUUCGUGGUGUAGCGGUGAAAUGCUGAGAUAUCACGAAGAACUCCGAUUGCGAAGGCAGCUUACUAAACUGCCACUGACAUUGAUGCUCGAAAGUGUGGGUAUCAAACAGGAUUAGAUACCCUAGUAGUC
rnacentral:rRNA from 1 species